GACAGAGGUGCCAAGCGUUAGGCGGAAUCACUGGGCUUAAAGCGUGUGUAGGCGGGUCGUUAAGUACCUUGUGAAAUCCCCCGGCUCAACCGGGGAACGGCUGGGUAUACUGGCGAUCUUGAGCCACCUAGGGGCAGUCGGAACAAGUGGUGGAGCGGUGAAAUGCAUAGAUAUCACUUGGAACGCCAAUGGUGAAAACAGACUGCUGGGGGUGUGCUGACGCUGAGACACGAAAGCCAGGGGAGCAAACGGG
rnacentral:rRNA from 1 species